AUUGAACGCUGGCGGCAGACCUAACACAUGCAAGUCGAACGGUAGCACAGAGGAGCUUGCUCCUUGGGUGACGAGUGGCGGACGGGUGAGUAAUGUCUGGGAAACUGCCCGAUGGAGGGGGAUAACUACUGGAAACGGUAGCUAAUACCGCAUAACGUCGCAAGACCAAAGAGGGGGACCUUCGGGCCUCUUGCCAUCGGAUGUGCCCAGAUGGGAUUAGCUAGUAGGUGGGGUAACGGCUCACCUAGGCGACGAUCCCUAGCUGGUCUGAGAGGAUGACCAGCCACACUGGAACUGAGACACGGUCCAGACUCCUACGGGAGGCAGCAGUGGGGAAUAUUGCACAAUGGGCGCAAGCCUGAUGCAGCCAUGCCGCGUGUAUGAAGAAGGCCUUCGGGUUGUAAAGUACUUUCAGCGAGGAGGAAGGCGUUGUGGUUAAUAACCGCAACGAUUGACGUUACUCGCAGAAGAAGCACCGGCUAACUCCGUGCCAGCCGCCGCGGUAAAAGGG
rnacentral:rRNA from 1 species